UUGUAUUAAAGAAUUAAAUGGAUGAAAUAUGAAGUUUUAUUAAAAGAAAAGGGUGAAAAGAACAAAGUUUUGUCCAUCUUUGUUCAUCAUAGCUGAAAGUUAGAGAAGAGAAAGGAGAGGAGAAAGCUCUUGAGUAUUCGGUCAUUAGGAGGAGGAAAAUUGAAGGAAAUCCCCAACCAUAGUGGGCUUGGAGCUGUGAGGGAAUUCGGAGUGGCCACUCGUUCUGAAAGUUUGAUUUUCUUCUGGUGAACUGGACAUCCUUUUAAUUACGUUUGAGGUUUUGGGCUUUUAAAUGUAAUAAGGCCGCUUAUUUAUUUUUGAUGGUUUUUGAUAUGUAUUACUAAGAUAGGUAAUACUUAUUUUAACUGUUGAAAUUGGAUAGCUUUAGGGCGCAUUUUCAAAAACAACAGUUGAUUUCAAAAUAACACGACAACAAGCAAAGCUUCCGCAAUGAAA